rnacentral:SRP_RNA from 1 species
GCCGGGCGUGGUGGCGCAUGCCUGUAAUUCCAGCUACUCUGGGGGCUGAGGCAGGAGAAUCGCUUGAACCCAGGAGGCGGAGGUUGCAGUGAGCCGAGAUCGCGCCAUUGCACUUCAGCCUGGGCAACAAGAGUGAAACUCCGUCUCAAGAAAAACAAACAAACAAACCUUUUUUUUCUUUUCUUGAGAUGGAGUUUUGCUCUGUCACCCAGGCUGGAGUGCAGUGGCACGAUCUCGGCUCACUAUAACCUCUGCCUCCCGGGUUCAAGUGAUUCUCUUGCCUCAG